rnacentral:rRNA from 1 species
CAGUCGCCGCGGGAAUACGUAGGUGGCAAGCGUUGUCCGGAAUUAUUGGGCGUAAAGGGCUCGCAGGCGGUGUCUUAAGUCUGAUGUGAAAGCCCCCGGCUCAACCGGGGAAGGUCAUUGGAAACUGGGAAACUUGAGUGCAGAAGAGGAGAGUGGAAUUCCACGUGUAGCGGUGAAAUGCGUAGAGAUGUGGAGGAACACCAGUGGCGAAAGCGACGACCUGGACCCUUUCUGACGCUGAGACGCGAAAGCCAGGGGAGCGAACGGGAUUAGAUACCCCUGUAGUCCCUGUCUCUUAUAC